AUACGUAGGGGGCAAGCGUUAUCCGGAUUUACUGGGCGUAAAGGGCGUGUAGGCGGUCUUGCAAGUCAGAAGUGAAAUUACUGAGCUCAACUCGGGCGCUGCUUCUGAAACUGCAGGACUUGAGUGCUGGAGGGGAUAGCGGAAUUCCUAGUGGAGCGGUAAAAUGCGCAGAUAUUAGGAAGAACACCGGUGGCGAGGGCGGAUAUGUGGACAGUAACUGAGGCAGAGUCGCGAAAGCGUGGGGAUAAAACAGGAUUAGAUACCCAGAUAGUCCACGCCGUAAACUAUGAAUACUAGGUGUAGGGGGGAUCGACUCCCUCGGUGCCUCAGUUAACACAAUAAGUAGUCCGCCUGGGGAGUACGGGUGCAAGGUUGAAACUCAAAGGAAUUGACGGGU
rnacentral:rRNA from 1 species